rnacentral:misc_RNA from 1 species
GUUUUAUAUCAUCAUAAAAACUAAAACAAAAAGUCUUAAUUGAAUUGAAGUCGGUCUUGUUCUUUGAAAGCUAGCAAACGGUUACGGUACGAAGUAAAUAAUUAAAGACUUCCAUAUAUAUAUAGUGCGUUGCACUCCGCGACAAAUACCAUCGAGUUACGCAGAUAGUGGUUAAGGUGUGUGCAAUUUUUUGUCAUCUUUUUGUGGAGUGCAAUUUCUAGUAAAAUGGGAAAUUAAAGAGCUAAAGUGGCGUAAAAAUCAAUAAUUAGAGCUUCGACAAAAUACCAAGUAAGAGUGGAUUGUUUGCCCUUAUAAAAUAUCAGCUUUACAACCCACAUCGAAUACUGAAGGUAUAACAAAGCACAUAAAAAGUUAUAAAAAAAAGUACGAGAUAUUUGAAUUGGAAAUAAUUAUGCUAAACAGCGCCAAUAACAAUUUUGUGCAGCAUGCACAGGUGGUAUCUACAUCAACAGAGGGAAACAUGAACGGCUAUAAUCGAAAGUCUCCUCAAAAACGGCGGUAUGACAUGCCAAAAUAUGCUGUGCCACCAAAAAAGAAGUCAGGCAAGGAACGUGUACCGCAACCGAAAAAUACAGUAGCGAUGCUUAACGAACUGCGGCAUGGGCUGAUAUACAAAUUAGAGUCACAGACUGGUCCGGUGCAUGCGCCGCUAUUUACGAUCUCCGUUGAGGUUGAUGGACAGAAGUAUAUGGGACAAGGGCGUAGUAAAAAGGUUGCGCGUAUCGAGGCUGCAGCCACAGCGUUGCGCAGUUUUAUACAGUUCAAAGAUGGCGCAGUCUUGUCUCCCUUGAAGCCAGCAGGCAACUUGGAUUUUACAAGUGACGAACACCUUGAAAAUGGUAUUGAAAACGUGUCCAAAGCAGAAUUAGUCGAACUGAUUUACACGUUGAUGUUGCCUGAAAAGAAAUCCAACCUUACCUCGCUUGAACAAUCCACGUUGCGUCCACAAAUAUUUUGCAUGAGCCACAGCAAAUGCCACAAAGAGUACGAUUGCCGUAGAUGGCCAGAAAAAAGUACCAGAUAAAGGCCCCGUUAUGUUGUUGUACGAAUUAUUCAACGAUGUUAAUUUUGAAUGCAUGAACAUUGAUGGCGCUCAAAACAAUUGUCGUUUUAAAAUGACGGUCACUAUAAAUGAUAAAAAGUUCGAUGGCACAGGGCCCUCCAAGAAAUUGGCAAAGAAUGCUGCCGCGAAGGCUGCUUUAGCCUCUCUGUGCAAUAUAUCUUACAGUCCGAUGAUGGCACCACAGAAAAAUGCGCCGUUACCCAUUGACGAGAAGUCAUCGUCGAUGGAAUUACCACAAAUACAUGCGGAUACCAUUGGACGGUUGGUAUUGGAAAAAUUCAUGGAAGUGAUUAAGGGCCAGGAGGCGUAUUCUCGGCGAAAAGUUCUGGCAGGCAUAGUUAUGACAGAAAAUAUGAAUUUCUGCGAAGCUAAAGUAAUCUCAGUUUCAACCGGAACAAAAUGUGUUAGCGGAGAGCACAUGAGCGUAAAUGGGGCGGUGCUUAACGACUCGCAUGCUGAAAUAGUGUCCAGGCGUUGUCUUCUGAAAUACUUGUAUGCUCAACUUGAUCUUCAGUGUAAUCAGGCAACAGCAUAUCAGUCGAUUUUCGUGAGGAAUACAGACGGGCAAUACCCUUAUAAACUAAAAUCCGGGGUACAUUUCCAUUUGUAUAUAAAUACAGCACCAUGUGGGGAUGCACGGAUAUUUAGUCCUCACGAAAACGACACUGGUGUUGAUA